CCUACGGGAGGCAGCAGUGAGGAAUAUUGGUCAAUGGGCGCAAGCCUGACCCAGCCACGCCGCGUGAAGGAAGAAGGCCUUCGGGUUGUAAACUUCUUUUGACAGGGAAGAGCAGAAGACGGUACCUGUCGAAUAAGCCACGGCUAACUACGUGCCAGCAGCCGCGGUAAUACGUAGGGGGCAAGCGUUGUCCGGAUUUACUGGGGGUAAAGGGCGUGUAGCCGGGCUGACAAGUCAGAUGUGAGAUCCGGGGGCUCAACCCCCGAAUUGCAUUUGAAACGGUUGGUCUUGAGUAUCGGAGAGGCAGGCGGAAUUCCUAGUGUAGCGGUGAAAUGCGUAGAGAUGAGGAGGAACACCGGUGGCGAAGGCGGCCUGCUGGACGACAACUGACGGUGAGGCGCGAAAGCGUGGGGAGCAAACAGGAUUAGAUACCCUUGUAGUC
rnacentral:rRNA from 1 species